rnacentral:tRNA from 1 species
GCCUGGGUGGCUCAGUGGUUGAGCGUCUGCCUUCAGCUCAGGGCGUGAUCCUGGGAUCGAGUCCCAUGUCGGGCU